ensembl:lncRNA
UAUUUAUGGCCAUAGACCCUAGCCUGGCUCCGCCCGCCUAAGUACUUCCGCUCAAUUUGAAUUUCCCAAAUGAAAUGAAGUGAAGUACGAGAGUCUGGUAGAACCAUGGACAUAAUAGAACCAGGCUACAUAGACCCAUGAUGCGGAAGCAUAUCUCUCCUUGAUGUUGCCCUGCGCCACUGAGCAGUACAUAUGUGCCGUGGGCUCUACCAGAAGGGGCGGGACUUCGCCCAAGUUUUCCCGCUUCUUCUCAGUUUGGGGCCGAAUCAACUGAACAAUAGAAUCUCGGAUCUCCAUUUUUGUGCCAUUCAAGUGCAUGUGGAGGACUUUGCGGAUAUCAGGGCAUACUUUUCCACAACAAAAUGGAACCGCCUCUGUAUGGCAGAGAAAAAAAGAUUCCUGCAGAUCAAGGAAAACCAUUUGGUUCUGGAGUCUCUUGGUAAACCAGUCAUACUUAAAUACUAUUUUACUGAGUACAUUGCUAUACAUACAGACACAGGUGGUGCUUCU